rnacentral:rRNA from 1 species
AGUGGCGGACGGGUGAGUAACGCGUGAGAAUCUGCCUUGGGGUCGGGGACAACCACUGGAAACGGUGGCUAAUACCGGAUAAGCCGAUUGGUGAAAGAUUUAUUGCCCGAAGAGGAGCUCGCGUCUGAUUAGCUAAUUGGUGAGGUAAGAGCUCACCAAGGCAGCGAUCAGUAGCUGGUCUGAGAGGACGAUCAGCCACACUGGGACUGAGACACGGCCCAGACUCCUACGGGAGGCAGCAGUGGGGAAUUUUCCGCAAUGGGCGAAAGCCUGACGGAGCAAGACCGCGUGAGGGAGGAAGGCUCUUGGGUUGUAAACCUCUUUUCUCAGGGAAGAAGCUCUGACGGUACCUGAGGAAUCAGCCUCGGCUAACUCCGUGCCAGCAGCCGCGGUAAUACGGAGGAGGCAAGCGUUAUCCGGAAUUAUUGGGCGUAAAGCGUCCGCAGGUGGCGAUUCAAGUUGCUGUCAAAGCACGGGGCUUAACUCCGUAAAGGCAGUGGAAACUGAAUAGCUAGAGUGCCGUAGGGGUAGAGGGAAUUCCCGGUGUAGCGGUGAAAUGCGUAGAGAUCAGGAAGAACAUCGGUGGCGAAAGCGCUCUACUGGACGGCAACUGACACUCAGGGACGAAAGCUAGGGGAGCGAAUGGGAUUAGAUAUCCC